rnacentral:rRNA from 1 species
GUGCCUUUUGUAGAAUGAACCGGCGAGUUACGAUAUGAUGCGAGGUUAAGUUGAAGAGACGGAGCCGUAGGGAAACCGAGUCUUAAUAGGGCGCCAUAGUAUCAUGUUGUAGACCCGAAACCAUGUGACCUACCCAUGAGCAGGUUGAAGGUGAGGUAAAACUCACUGGAGGACCGAACCAGGGCACGUUGAAAAGUGCUUGGAUGACUUGUGGGUAGCGGAGAAAUUCCAAACGAACUUGGAGAUAGCUGGUUCUCUCCGAAAUAGCUUUAGGGCUAGCGUCGAUGUUAAGUCUCUUGGAGGUAAGAGCA